rnacentral:rRNA from 1 species
GACGAACGCUGGCGGCGUGCCUAAUACAUGCAAGUCGAGCGGACUUUCAAGAAGCUUGCUUUUUGAAAGUUAGCGGCGGACGGGUGAGUAACACGUGGGCAACCUGCCUGUAAGACGAGGAUAACUCCGGGAAACCGGGGCUAAUACCGGAUAAUAUCUUUCUUCGCAUGAAGGAAGGUUGAAAGGCGGCGCAAGCUGCUGCUUGCAGAUGGGCUCGCGGCGCAUUAGCUAGUUGGUGAGGUAACGGCUCACCAAGGCGACGAUGCGUAGCCGACCUGAGAGAGUGAUCGGCCACACUGGGACUGAGACACGGCCCAGACUCCUACGGGAGGCAGCAGUAGGGAAUCUUCCGCAAUGGACGAAAGUCUGACGGAGCAACGCCGCGUGAGCGAAGAAGGUCUUCGGAUCGUAAAGCUCUGUUGUCAGGGAAGAACAAGUACCGUUCGAAUAGGGCGGUACCUUGACGGUACCUGACCAGAAAGCCACGGCUAACUACGUGCCAGCAGCCGCCGCAG